UACGUAGGGGGCGAGCGUUGUCCGGAAUCAUUGGGCGUAAAGAGCGUGUAGGCGGACUGGGAAGGUCUGGUGUGAAGCCCGGGGCUCAACCCCGGAGGGUCACUGGAAACCAACAGUCUUGAAUCUGGAAGAGGAGAGUGGAAUUCCGUGGUGUAGCGGUGGAAUGCGCAGAUAUCAGGAGGAACACCAAUGGCGAAGGCAGCUCUCUGGUACAUGAUUGACGCUGAGACGCGAAAGCGUGGGGAGCGAACAGG
rnacentral:rRNA from 1 species